rnacentral:rRNA from 1 species
CAGGAUGGACCCGCGUCUGAUUAGCUAGUUGGUAAGGUAACGGCUUACCAAGGCGACGAUCAGUAGCCGACCUGAGAGGGUGAUCGGCCACAUUGGAACUGAGACACGGUCCAAACUCCUACGGGAGGCAGCAGUGGGGAAUAUUGCACAAUGGGCGAAAGCCUGAUGCAGCAACGCCGCGUGAGUGAUGAAGGCCUUCGGGUCGUAAAACUCUGUCCUCAAGGAAGAUAAUGACGGUACUUGAGGAGGAAGCCCCGGCUAACUACGUGCCAGCAGCCGCGGUAAUACGUAGGGGGCUAGCGUUAUCCGGAUUUACUGGGCGUAAAGGGUGCGUAGGCGGUCUUUCAAGUCAGGAGUGAAAGGCUACGGCUCAACCGUAGUAAGCUCUUGAAACUGGGAGACUUGAGUGCAGGAGAGGAGAGUGGAAUUCCUAGUGUAGCGGUGAAAUGCGUAGAUAUUAGGAGGAACACCAGUUGCGAAGGCGGCUCUCUGGACUGUAACUGACGCUGAGGCACGAAAGCGUGGGGAGCAAACAGGAUUAGAUACCCUGGUAGUCCACGCUGUAAACGAUGAGUACUAGGUGUCGGGGGUUACCCCCCUCGGUGCCGCAGCUAACGCAUUAAGUACUCCG